AGAUUGUUAUUUUCUUGAACUACAAAAUUCGCAGGUUCAGCAACUUCAAUGCGUCCCCACUUGUCUACUGCAAGCCUCAUAGAACCCUUGAACAUGUCAAUCUUUGCAUUACGCAGAAUAACAGUCGUGCCUGGCGUCAUAAGGUCAACUUGUUCAUUGCGGGCGGUGAAGACGAUAGAGCCGGUGUCGUCGCCAACAAGGCACUCAGCGAUACGGGCGGGGCGGACAGGACGCUG
rnacentral:misc_RNA from 1 species